ensembl:snRNA U4 U4 spliceosomal RNA
AUCUUUGUGCAGUGGCAAUAUCACAGCUCAUGAAGUUUAUCUGAGGCACAAUUAUUGCUGAUUGAAACUUUUAGAGUAAUGAUUUUUCCCACAUAAUGUUAAUUAUUUCUAUACUAAAAUUAUGCAUUUU